UUAACUAUUUUAUUUUUUCUCAGACAAACAUGUACAAGAGUAUAUACACUCUGGCGGGCAUUGGAAAAGCCUUCCUAUACCCGCCAAAGCAACAGAGGUAUGAUAAUCAGGGUGGGAGAUGUACCCCGGAGGGCAAUUUCUCUCUAAUGAUCCUUCCGCAGGUUCACCUACGGAAA
rnacentral:misc_RNA from 1 species